rnacentral:lncRNA from 1 species
UUUAAAAUGGUGAUCAUUUUCAGAGCGAACUCCCUUCGAUUAACUUGCCAUCGUCUGCCUUAUCGGAAAUCCAAAACACAGACCAAAACCACCGUGACAUAAAUCACAAAAUCAACAACUAGCGCAAAACGGUAUAAAAAUCAAGUUAUGGGGGCCAGCAAUAUAGAUUUUGAUUUAUUGGCUGCUGGCGUGACUCUCUAUCUGAACAACCUACCACAUCCACAUGCCAAAUAGGUGGGGCAGAAUGUGGGGGCCCUACCAAACCCCCUAAGUAGACAGCUCAAAGGCCUAAACGUGGCGAGACCAACAAGAAGAACAUGCGAAAACAAAAACAUACAGAGUGGAACCAAAAGCGAGGCCAGCCAAACAAUGGCGAGCAUUUUGAUUUGUGACUUGCGACUUUUCACGUAGCGCUCUCAUGCCCACACACACGCACCGGGAAAAUCUCCAUAAAAAAUAUGAAAAUAAAAAUCACGCAAC